rnacentral:lncRNA from 1 species
UAAAAUAUAUUUUUAGUAUUUUUAUUUAUAGAAAAGAAAGGGUUUUGUAGCACAAGGACGAUGUGUGCGAUCACACAUGUGCUAGACCCCUUAAAAUAUAUUUUUGGUAUUUUUAUUUAUAGAAAAGAAAGGGUUUUCUAGCACAAGGACGAUGCAUGCGAUCACACAUGUGCUAGACCCCUUAAAAUAUAUUUUUGAUGUUUAUUUAUAAAAGUAUAUUUAAAAAGGUAGAUAAAUAUUUAAAAUGGAAGCAAAAGAAAAAAAAGAAAAAUAAAAGAUAGAUAAAUAAAUAAUGAAAAUAAAAUAAAAAGUAAAAGAUAAAAUAGAUAAAAAUAAACUAAUAAGUAAAAAGAAAGGGUGUGGUGGUGCUAAAAUAAGAGAAGGGGUAUUCAAUCCCAAUUUAGUUCUAAAAACAGAUUGAGCCUAAGCCCAAGUAGAAAAAAGGUGGUAAAAAUGAAAAAUAGGGGUGUACAAACUAAAUUAUCUCUAAAGGCAGAUUGGGCCUAAGCCCAAUUGAAAAGGGUGUGACUUAGCGAACAUGGGGUGCAGAAGGGAUUCCCUUUUUUUAAUCAACAGAUGGGCUCAAGCCCAUUGCACAUGCGGUGCCAGAUAGUAGAAACUGGGGUGGCGAGAGAAGGUUUUUUGUUUGGUUUUAUUAUUAUUAUUUUGUUGGUUGGGCUUGACACCCAGGCCCAUGCUCUCUUGACCUAGAAUCGUAAGAGGGGUCAAGCCUCACUACCUCACUCUGCACUCUCAGACUCAAACACCAGAGACUCAAGGUUUCGCGUCUCUCUCUCGAAGACAACCGAACCCUCAAGCUUUCUCUCUCUCACAAGGGCGCGCCACCACCCUCAGCCAGAACCGGCCACCAGGCCAAUACUUGCACCAGUCUCGACCUCGCUGGUGGCAAUAGGUGUCACCGGAACCAUGGUUGGCCACCGCGUCCUCUUUGCGUCUCUCUCUCAAUCGCAACCGCCCAGGAUUGGGUUCCUUCGCCACCACACGACUCGACCGGCCGCCGUUCCCAUCCGGUCAGCCAUGGCAACGCCGACAUCCUCGCCACCAUCCGGCCAGCCAACGCAGGCCGUGACGACCUCACUCUCUCUCCUUCUGCUCGCGUCGGCCUAGGGUGUGGGGUUUGUCUCCAACCGGCCACCGCCUUAUCCAGUCUCGCCGCCGCUGGCGACGGCAGAUGCCACCAGGAUCCAGGCCAGCGUCACUGCACCGCCACCUUCCUUCUCCUCUUUCUAUUCUCGUGCUCUUGGGGUCAUCUCCUUUUCAUUUCACCGGUCACCACAACUCCAAUUGGUCAGGGCUGCCUUAAAGGUCCAACUUUGAACGAAUUGGCAUGGAAUUUGUGAUUUGAUUUCUGUUUAUUGGUUUGAUGCAGGUGAAAGAUGAUGUUGGGUUUGUUCUAUGGUACUCUGUGUAAGUUUCUGUUUAACUGGGUGCAAUUCCUUCGUUGGUUAUUGGAGAUGAACAGAGGCGUGGAGGUUUAAGCUUCAUUAUCUGGUUUGGCUCCUGGGAUUUUUGGUGUUUGAUGGGUAGACAUAGGCUGUCGCGUUGACAAAGAAUGGUGGAACAAGAAAAGCUGAAGUAAACUUGGAUUUCGGUUUGUUGGGAAGAUGAUGUAUCUGCAGAUGACGGGUUACUGGAAUUUGGGUUGCGCAGGUUUGGGUUAUGCAAAGAGAGUACUGGUCUCUAAUGGUUGGAGGUGGUGAAGCAUGUUCAGUUUGUUGGGAUGAAUGGAAAACAAAAAAACAAACCAUGUACAGAAACAAAUCAUGCAUACUCAAUAUAAUAGCAAGUUCGAUAUGAGCAGUCAAAGCCAGGCAUUACCAAAUCAGAACAGAAGGAGAAACCCCAUUAGGAGUAAAUUGUAAUCGUCUAACAUUCAUAACUUUGUGAGUGAUGAAGUUAAAGAGAACUUACCUUCUACGUUUACACUCUCUUCUCUCAAGUCCUUGUGAUCCUUUUUCUUAUGAUUCAACUCCACUUCUUUUCUUCAGUAGCCUUGGUGUUAGUCUAGAGAAAAAACAUUUUUCUUUGCUUCGUAAGUGUGAGGAGUGGUCAUGAAAAAAAUGGAUACUGUUUUUUUUUAUGAUUCCCAACUGGUGAGAAUGGGUGAUCAAAGUAACUGAGAGCAGGGGCAAUGGUUAGUACCGAGUACUGGUCGUGGCUGCCCAAGUGGACGGUUUCAUCAUGGAGGUUAUUAGAGGAGCCGAAGGGUGGAGAACGUGUCCUUCCUUGCCUGCCAAGACCAAACCGCCUCUGCCAAAUGUACCUCUGCCAAUUUGCAAAACGUUCUCUGCCAAAAUCCAUCCCUACACCUGUCAUGUCCCCCUUUUGUCGUUUACAAAUGUGGCUUCACUCAUUUUUUCUUUUUUUUAAUUAAAUAUAUUUAAACAAGAUAAAAUAUAAAAAGGUAAAACUUAAAAAAUGAAAAUAAAAAAUUAAAAAUUAAAAAAUAUAAAGGGAAAAGCAAAAUGAAAUAAAAAGAGAAUAGGAUGAGAUAAAUAGAAUAAAAACUAAAUCAAAUACUAAAUAGUAAAACAAAAAUUAAACAAAAUAAAACAAAAAUAAAAUAAAAUAAAAAUAAAAUAAAAUAAGACAAAAAUAAAAACUAGUCCUAUUAUUCAGUCAUCCGGACGAAAUUGGGUGUUGACACAGUAUCUCAUGACCAAAGAAGGAAAUUACAAACCAAGUAUACCCUUUAUUCCUAGUCACUAGUACAUAUCAAAUUCGAAAAAGUUACAUCAUAAUUAAUAUAACAACUUUUCUACGGUUCAUUACAUGAUUAAUCAAUUGGAUAAAACCCCCAACCCUUUCUAGAAUCAUUAUUGUUUCAGAUUGAGACCCGAAACCAAACACAAACCAAGUUGUUUCGCUGAAUUGCC